UGUACAUCAUACUUUUCCUUCAACUAUAGACUUGUGCCGCUCGCCUAUUAACUGCUUUCGGGGGGUUUGAAUUGAAAAAACGUGACUUCCGGUUUGUAUCGGAAGUUCAUUGGAACUUCCUGUCCCUAAGGUUUCCAUCACGGAUUUCAUCUAACUUCAUUCUCGAGAUUAAGACGGCGUAGGACGUGCUUUUCUCGCGCUGUUGGAUUGUGUGCCCUUUUUUUCUGCUGUUUGCGGAGUUUUCGAAGGAAAAUUAAAGAUUUUUCAGGUAAGUCUUAGUCCGUAUUGACCCUAGACGUAAGAAUUUAUUUAAUAUUACUUGGAGAAUCGGUUCCAGAAGACAUCUCGGCACGUCGUUCGAUGGUCGACCGUUUGCGCUUCGGAUUCGAAUCUUUUAGAUUUAAAAAGAAUGUUUGCGUGGUUUCGCCGGAGGUUCCGACGGAAGAAUGCGGUGGCGCCGGAAGGAGGGGGUUCAUCGGACGGAUCCGAUGAGACGUUCGAGGACCGCGGGUUCGACUGGGUCUCUGCCGAAUCGAUUGGUUCGUUGUGGGAAAAAAAACCAUCGAGCAAGAGGCAGUGGGUGACGACUUUUCCCAAGUGCGUUUGGAGUGGCAUUCUCCCGGAGGUGGGAGAGUUCCGAGUCCAUUCCACUUGGCCAAGAUCGUCAGGGAUCAGCCGGCCACAGAUCUUGUUGUGGAGGACAUAGGGAGUGACAGCUAGUCCGAGUCCUUUUCUUGGAGUUCUAUGUCACUCCCUAUUUUCGCGAGAUCUGCCUCUUCCUCCGCUAGAUCGGCAUCAUCUUUUGGAAGCCGGAACGGGGAAAAAUCGGAGAAGAGAGCCACCCAAGUCGAGAAACCGUAAUGUCUGCGAUUUUGUUGCUAUGGGUGGCUGCGGUUCCCUUGGCCUAAGCAGUGAUCCUCUUCGAUUUUUCCCAACUCGCCCUUUGCACCCGGAUGCGACAUUCUGACCAGGUUCAACACUUUUCACUAGGACACGACACCUUUACUCGGGCGUGGCCUUCUCUUACUCGGAUGUUCUCAUGGACUUGUCUCCCAAACGUGACACUCGAUCGACGACAAUGGAUUUGACGACAAACAUUCGGCCGACCUUUCUUCCCAAACAGCUGUUUUGAGGAUUGAGCUUCCGAUUAUGGUAGGUUAAGUUAGGCUAAAUCAAGUCCUUCGCUCUUCUCAUAACACUGUUCGGGAAGAAAGACUGUCUGAUAAAGGUAAUAAUGUUGGCCUUAGGUAAUAAAUGAAUGAACUUCUCGAUUUCUCACUGCCUUUGUGUUUUGUAGGAACAUUUGGGAGGGAGAAGAAUCUCCCUCCCCAACUUUACCACCAAGAGGACAAAGUGAACAUUUAUCGUACAAGUGAAUAUUUUCCGAUGACAUGCCGAAGAUGUUCUUCGAUCACACACAUUCAUAUACAUGCACGGUAGUAACGUCACUGUACACGAAGAUAUACACCGUUUAACCUUUACUCGAAUUCUUACACGUCAAGAGCCUCGUUCUGUGUAAUUCAACACAAUGAAACAACCUGAACACUCGCUUCCCACAAAUCCAACCCCUGGGUCCUCGUCCCGGGAAGUAGACUUAUUUAAAGUCUUUUAAUUUAAAAAAUUAAAAGACUUUAAAUUGGCGGCCGAAGGGGCUCUGGUAAUCACACAACUUGCGUGGAUUAAAUGAAAUUUCACACAUUAACAUCAAUAAUCGUUUUGUGAUGAAUUUUUCUGUUAAAACAAAUUAUGUUAUCAAAGCUUUAAUAGUCAUAAAUAACUUGAAACCAAUAGAAGGGCAGUGAAAAAAUUAAUUAGUCAAAUUAUUCAAAAAAACAAAAUAAAAAAAAACAAUUGAUAUCCAAAGUAAAACAUUCGAGAUGUAAAAAAAGCCGAGAUUAAAACAUUUCUCUUUAUUUCGCCUAUUUAACAAUGCAUUUCGGAUUGGUAAUUUUCCAAUCCCUCUUUGGGCUCACGGCUUCAGUGUCUAAAUUGUCUACAACAUAACGAAAAAACUCGGCAAAUAUAAUCAGGUGUGUUUAGUAGUAUAAGUAACGAAAAAAGAUUAGUUCGUCUUAUAUAUAGAGAAUAUAUACUGUAUAUAUAAAGUAGGCCUACUACUAUUUGUAUAUACACUAUAUAUACACACAUACAUACAUGGAAUAUACAAAACACUGUGUCUCGUCUAUCUAUAAUUUAUGCUCAAUUCGGCCCAACUAUCGAAAAGUUUGGGCAUCAUAAAUAAACAAAAAAUCAUGUUAUACUAUGAACUUGGUGUGUAUUUAGUGUCAAUUCUCUAUCAAUAAAAGCGCACGGAAUAAUGCUCACAGCUUCAAUUGACAAAUCGAGAGGCCAAAAAUCAUGAGCACAAGUGUAUAUUAUGCUCUUCCACACUAGUAAGCACGAAAAAAAGGGGGAAUUCCUUUGGGUAUUCACGCGGUUCUUUAAAGAUCGCGGGAAUUUUUAACUGUAAUUCAGUCCUAUGAUUAAAAUUUUGGCCUAAAUUGUAAUUGCCGAAAAAAUUAACUCGGUUAAUUAACAGUUUAGUAAUUAUUAAGAAAAUAUAAGCAAUUUCCAUUGGAAAAUUUUCAUUAUAAUAUAGAAUUAGAACUUAACGUUUUAUCAAACAUUAAUGUUUUUUUAUUACUUUCAAAACUAUUUCAAAUUAAAGUAAAAAACAAAGUCGACAGGAAUUAUCUAAAAUCAACACGAGAUAAAACGAAAGUGUUAUAUUUGAUGUCAUUAGACUAUAUACGGUGAGUUCUUCCUUAUCUUUAUUAACCACCGACCGACUACUUCUUAAGAUAUGAUUGGGUUUAUUCAUUCACGUG